rnacentral:tRNA from 1 species
GUUAGUAUGGCAGAGCUUGGUUAUGCAAAAGAUCUAAAUCCUUUAAACCGGGGUUCAAAUCCCCUCACUAACU